GAUGAAGAACGUAGUGAAAUGCGAUACGUAGUGUGAAUUGCAGAAUUCAGUGAAUCAUCGAAUCUUUGAACGCACAUUGCACCUCUCGGUAUUCCGGGAGGUAUGCCUGUUCGAGCGUCAUUUGUACCCUCAAGCUCUGCUUGGUGUUGGGUGUUUAUUCCGCCUCUGUGUGUGAACUCGCCUCAAAACAAUUGGCAGCCGGCGUACUUGUUUCGGAGCGCAGCACAUUUUGCGAUCCAGAUCAACGUACAGCGGCAUCCAAGAAGCCUUAUUUAACGCUCUUGACCUCGGAUCAGGUAGGGAUACCCGCUGAACUUAAGCAUAUCAAUAAGCGGAGGA
rnacentral:misc_RNA from 1 species